GUAGGGGUAAUAAUAUGCUGAAGGCUUGCUGUAUUGGGUACAGAUGGUAAUAUGUAGGCUAAUAUGCUGAAGGCUAGCUGUAUUGGGUACAGAUGAUAAUAUGUAGGGGUAAUAAUAUGUUGAAGGCUAGCUGUAUUGGGUACAGAUGAUAAUAUGUAGGCUAUAAUAAUAUGCUGAAGGCUAGCUGUAUUGGGUACAGAUGGUAAUAUGUAGGGGUAAUAAUAUGCUGAAGGCUAGCUGUAUUGGGUACAGAUGAUAAUAUGUAGGGGUAAUAAUAUGCUGAAGGCUAGCUGUAUUGGGUACAGAUGAUAAUAUGUAGGGGUAAUAAUAUGCUGAAGGCUAGCUGUAUUGGGUACAGAUGAUAAUAUGUAGGGGUAAUAAUAUGUUGAAGGCUAGCUGUAUUGGGUACAGAUGAUAAUAUGUAGGGGUAAUAAUAUGCUGAAGGCUAGCUGUAUUGGGUACAGAUGAUAAUAUGUAGGGGUAAUAAUAUGCUGAAGGCUAGCUGUAUUGGGUACAGAUGAUAAUAUGUAGACUAUAAUAAUAUGCUGAAGGCUAGCUGUAUUGGGUACAGAUGAUAAUAUGUAGGGGUAAUAAUAUGCUGAAGGCUAGCUGUAUUGGGUACAGAUGAUAAUAUGUAGGGGUAAUAAUAUGCUGAAGGCUA
rnacentral:lncRNA from 1 species